UACGGGGGGGGCAAGCGUUGUUCGGAAUUACUGGGCGUAAAGGGCUCGUAGGCGGCCAACUAAGUCAGACGUGAAAUCCCUCGGCUUAACCGGGGAACUGCGUCUGAUACUGGAUGGCUUGAGAUUGGGAGAGGGAUGCGGAAUUCCAGGUGUAGCGGUGAAAUGCGUAGAUAUCUGGAGGAACACCGGUGGCGAAGGCGACAUCCUGGACCAACACUGACGCUGAGGGAGCGAAAGCCAGGGGAGCAAACGGG
rnacentral:rRNA from 1 species